UACGAAGGGGGCUAGCGUUGCUCGGAAUCACUGGGCGUAAAGGGUGCGUAGGCGGGUCUUUUAAGUCAGGGGUGAAAUCCUGGAGCUCAACUCCAGAACUGCCUUUGAUACUGAGGAUCUUGAGUCCGGGAGAGGUGAGUGGAACUGCGAGUGUAGAGGUGAAAUUCGUAGAUAUUCGCAAGAACACCAGUGGCGAAGGCGGCUCACUGGCCCGAUACUGACGCUGAGGCACGAAAGCGUGGGGAGCAAACAGG
rnacentral:rRNA from 1 species